CUUAUUAUAUGUCCCAUCUGGCAACCUGUGUGGGGUUGAAAGGUCAGCACAGCAACAUACAAGCAUUGGUACAGGAUGAUUGGCUGAAUCAUAUCAACCCUUGAUGCAAGAGAUGCCUGUUCCCCUCUCCAAAAGAAGAUUCUAUUACCCCUUUUCCACCAAGGAUCUUUGGGAAACCAGCUGACAAAAGAUGUGAAUGAGUUAAAUGAGUGGCUGGAGAAGAGAGGAAGGAGGAGGCGGUACCAUGACCCAAAUCUUCACCUUUCACCCCAAGCUUCCUCAGCUCUC